rnacentral:rRNA from 1 species
CGCGUAGGCGGCAAUUCAAGUCAGCUGUGAAAUCUCCGGGCUUAACUCGGAACGGUCAGCUGAUACUGCUUUGCUAGAGUGCAGAAGGGGCAAUCGGAAUUCUUGGUGUAGCGGUGAAAUGCGUAGAUAUCAAGAGGAACACCUGAGGUGAAGACGGGUUGCUGGGCUGACACUGACGCUGAGGCGCGAAAGCUAGGGUAGCAAACGGGAUUAGAUACCCCGGUAGUCCUAGCCCUAAACGAUGAAUACUUGGUGUCUGGAGUUUUUAUCCUCCGGGUGCCGUCGCUAACGUUUUAAGUAUUCCGCCUGGGGAGUACGCACGCAAGUGUGAA